rnacentral:lncRNA from 1 species
CUUUCAAAUGCGGCUGGAAAAAUCUGUCCUUUUUUAAUUCCCAGGAGGCACGCAAGCCAAAUUGGACCUUGAGAAAAACAUUAUCUUACAGAAAUGUCUUCCAAUAAAAAAUGUGAUUGUGUUUAUGAAAAAAACCCACUUCGUAUAUAACAGCACUGCAUAGCAUGCCUAUGCUUGUUUUUGCAGAAUGGGUUUUUUAACCAAAAGUUGGAUCGUUAGCUUUAUUAUAGAUUCAGUCUUACUGGUAGCAUCACAAGGCUGACUUCCAAGAGAAAAUAUUUGGCUUUUUAUAAAGUGAGGAACUAUUUUGUAAAGUAAAUAGUACAUGCCUCUAUCUUCCACCAACCAUUUAUUCUGUAAGUUCUGAUUUUAAUGAAGUAUUUCUCAGAGUAAGGACUUCUUUAUACCAUCACUAAACUUCCUGCAGGAAUUUUAGAAUUUCUCCCCAUCUUCUUUGCUUUCCAGAUUCACGUGGGAUAUAGCUACUUUUUUUUUUUUGGACACGGAGUUUUACUCUUGUUGCCCAGGCUGGAGUGCAAUGGCGCAAUCUCGGCUCAAUGCAACCUCUGCCUCCCAGGUUCAAGCAGUUCUCCUGCCUCAGCCUCCCGAGUAGCUGGGAUUACAGGCAUCCGCCACCAUGCCCGGCUAAUUUUGCAUUUUUAGGAGAGACGGGGUUUCUCUGUGUUGGUCAGACUGGUCUCGAUCUCCCGACCUCAGGUGAUCUGCCUGCCUUGGAUUACAGGCAUGAACCACCGUGCCCAGCCAUAUAGCCACUGUUUUUAAAAGCCAUUUCUGCACUACCAAGUUAGUGAGUAGCAGCCCUCCACCUGCUCACCUUUGGCUUAUGGACCAUGCAGCUAAAAGAAGCAACACAAAAUAAACUGUGGUCAAAAGAGACUCACAGUUCUCCCUCACACAGGAGGCUGAAGACACUCACACUUCCUCCUUUUAAGUCUUCAACUUUUCUUCUUUAUCACGCCCAAGGCUUUCAUGGUCAGAAAACGUCAGUGCUGGAAGAGGCCUUCGAGAACUCUGCUCUCAAUUUCUGCAUUUGAAGACGGACGCAGACCCUCAUCUCCUGACCCGUCAUCCAGUGCUGUUCUCCUGCACCUCCCUGAGGAGUCGCUCAACACUCCAAUCCCUCCAAGAAGCUGGGGUGCCUCUCAAUUUAACAAGCCAGAAACCGAGAACUCUAUGCAAACAACACCACUGCUCAGAGGUGAUAAGGCAAGCAUAGAUGCCUGUAAUGCUGAGAACCACACCUAUCAAGAGAGUGAUUGCAUCGUUGGCUUCUACUGCUUCGACAACAGGCAGCAUCAAAGGCGUGACAUGAGAACUAAGGACAACUGUGUUGAAACUGAGGUCAUGAUGUUGGAAUCUUGA